CCAAGCACAACAACUGCCACUGCAUCGACUACGUCCGCCACCAGCAGCGAAACAACAGAUUCAACAAUAUCUACAUCCACAGAAGAAAGCACAUCCACAGACCAAAGUACAAUGAUGACCUCUUAUACAACAGAAUCAACAUCAACAGAGACAGAUUCGACAAUUUCUGCAACCACAGACCAAAGUACAACAAUGA